UCAAACAACGAUUGAAUCAGUUCCUGAGCCACAAGUUAGGAGAUCACAAAGGGAAAGAAGAUCUGCAUUGCCCAGUGAUUAUGUUACAUAUUUAUUGGAGAGCGAUUUUAAUAUCGAGCAUAUUGUUGAUCCUGUAACUUAUAAUCAAGCAUUGACAAGUCCUGAGGCAGAUAAAUGGAUAGCUGCCAUGGAAGAUGAAA
rnacentral:lncRNA from 1 species